UUCAGGAACUGAAACAGGAAGUUGGGGACUCCAUGAGUUUGAAGAGGUACCAUAACACAUUCUCUACAGUAAUUAGGGCUUCCCUUAACAGAGCCAAGGCUGGCACCUGGGUAGAUGUUCUUUGUUGAUUACAAAGUCUUAAUGUGGACUGGCUUCAGAAGCUUCUCAGAGCCAAACCGCCAUCUCUGCCUUUCUGCUACGAAGACCACAUUCCCAUCCAGGCCACCCACCAGGUUCCAUUUGGUGGAACCCCCACCAAGGACACCUUUACCUGUUGAUUGCUUUAUAGAAUAACCGGACUGGAUGACAGCCCUGAGCAGUUUGCCAGUGUGGUCUAGUUUUCUAGGUUUCCCUGGUGAGUCAACAGGAAUGUAUCUACUUGACUCUGGGAAUUGCAGUUCUACAUUAUCACCUAAAGUCUUCCAGAUUUUCCUGAAGAGAGGCAAAUGUGUAAAACACAACUGAAAGCUGACUGUUGAAUUAACACCGUGGUGAACAAGAUCUUGGAUGUGAGACAUGGAAAUGAACCUGAACUGAGAGUCGCUUUCCAAAGACUAUCUCAUCUCUGGGAUUCAGGCUGAACAAAGGAGUUAGAUUGAGUGAGUUC
ensembl:processed_transcript predicted gene 12609